GCUGGGUGCGGUGGUGCGCACCUGUAGUCCCAGCUACUUGGGAGGCUGAGGCAGGAUAAUCACUUGAACCCGGGAGGCAGAGGUUGCAGUGAGCCAAGACCACGCCACUGCACUCUAGCCUGGGUGACAGGGUGAGACUCUGUCUCAA
rnacentral:SRP_RNA from 2 species